UACGUAGGGCGCAAGCGUUGUCCGGAAUUAUUGGGCGUAAAGAGCUCGUAGGUGGUUUGUUGCGUCUGCCGUGAAAACCCGAGGCUUAACCUCGUGGCUUGCGGUGGAUACGGGCAGACUUGAGGUAGGUAGGGGAGAAUGGAAUUCCCGGUGUAGCGGUGAAAUGCGCAGAUAUCGGGAGGAACACCGGUGGCGAAGGCGGGUCUCUGGGCCGAUACUGACGCUGAGGAGCGAAAGCGUGGGGAGCGAACAGG
rnacentral:rRNA from 1 species